AGAGUUUGAUCAUGGCUCAGAACAAACGCUGGCGGCGUACAUAACACAUGCAAGUCGAACGAGAAAUUCCGAUUCGUCGGGAGAGUAAAGUGGCGAACGGGUGAGUAAUACAAGGGUAAUCUGCCCUUAAAUUAGGGAUAACCUUGCGAAAGCGAAGCUAAUACCUGAUAAGACUACGACCUCUUAGGUGGUUGUAGGAAAAGAUGGCCUCUGUUUCAAGCUAUCGUUUAAGGAUGAGCCCUUGCACUAUUAGCUUGUUGGUGGGGUAACGGCCUACCAAGGCUACGAUGGUUAGCUGGUCUGGGAGGAUGACCAGCCACACUGGAACUGAGACACGGUCCAGACUCCUACGGGAGGCAGCAGUGAGGAAUAUUGCGCAAUGGGGGAAACCCUGACGCAGUGACGCCGCGUGAGUGAUGAAGGCUUUCGAGUCGUAAAGCUCUGUUAGGUGGAAAGAAACAUUCCAACGCUAAUACCGUUGGAACUUGACGGUACCACCAGAGGAAGCACCGGCUAACUCUGUGCCAGCAGCCGCGGUAAUACGGAGGGUGCAAGCGUUACUCGGAAUCACUGGGCGUAAAGCGCGCGCAGGCGGCCAUUUAAGUUGGAUGUGAAAGCCUACGGCUCAACCGUAGAACUGCAUCCAAAACUAUUUGGCUAGAGUGUGGGAGAGGAAGAUGGAAUUAGUUGUGUAGGGGUAAAAUCCGUAGAGAUAACUGGGAAUACCAAAAGCGAAGGCAAUCUUCUGGAACACUACUGAUGCUGAGGCGCGAAAGCGUGGGGAGCAAACAGGAUUAGAUACCCUGGUAGUCCACGCAGUAAACGAUGAAUGUUAGUCGUCGGGUAGCUAGUCUAUUCGGUGAUGCAGCUAACGCAUUAAACAUUCCGCCUGGGGAGUACGGUCGCAAGAUUAAAACUCAAAGGAAUAGACGGGGACCCGCACAAGUGGUGGAGCAUGUGGUUUAAUUCGAAGAUACGCGAAGAACCUUACCUGGCCUUGACAUAUUUUAGAAUUCUUUAGAGAUAGAGAAGUGCCUUCGGGAGCUAAUAUACAGGUGCUGCACGGCUGUCGUCAGCUCGUGUCGUGAGAUGUUGGGUUAAGUCCCGCAACGAGCGCAACCCUCGUCACUAGUUACUAACGGUUCGGCCGAGGACUCUAGUGAGACUGCCUUCGCAAGGAGGAGGAAGGUGAGGACGACGUCAAGUCAUCAUGGCCCUUACGGCCAGGGCAACACACGUGCUACAAUGGUUAGGACAAUGAGACGCAAUACCGCGAGGUGGAGCAAAUCUAUAAACCUAAUCUCAGUUCGGAUUGUUCUCUGCAACUCGAGAACAUGAAGCUGGAAUCACUAGUAAUCGUAGAUCAGCUAUGCUACGGUGAAUACGUUCCCGGGUCUUGUACUCACCGCCCGUCACACCAUGGGAGUUGAUUUCACCCGAAGCGGGGAAGCUAAACUGGCUACCCUCCACGGUGGAAUUAGCGACUGGGGUGAAGUCGUAACAAGGUA
rnacentral:rRNA from 1 species